rnacentral:rRNA from 1 species
AUUGAACGCUGGCGGCAGGCCUAACACAUGCAAGUCGAGCGGAGCGGCGGACGGGCGAGUAAUGCCUAGGUAUCUGCCUGGUAGUGGGGGAUAACGACCGGCAACGGGCGCUAAUUCCGCCUACUAUCUGUUGAGUCUAGGUCGGAUUAGUUAGCUGGUGGGGUAAAGGCCUACCAAGGCGACGAUCCGUACCUGGUCUGAGAGGAUGAUCAGUCACACUGGAACUGAGACACGGUCCAGACUCCUACGGGAGGCAGCAGUGGGGAAUAUUGGACAAUGGGCGAAAGCCUGAUCCAGCCAUGCCGCGUGUAUGAAGAAGGUCUUCGGGUUGUAAAGUACUUUAAGUUGGGAGGCGUUACCAACAGAAGAAGCACCGGCUAACUUCGUGCCAGCAGCCGCGGUAAUUC